rnacentral:ncRNA from 1 species
AAAAAGUUUUAUUCUUGCUUAAAGAUUUGUUUAUAAUUUCUUUUACAUGUAAAUUUUUGUGGGGACUAGUAAUUGAAUUGAAAAUUCUUUAUUGGUGAUUAUUUAUUCGCAGUAAUUGAUAUUAUUAAUUUAGGAAACUGAGAAAUAGGAAUUUUAUUCAGUAUUGGUAAAAUUUGUGCCAGCAACCGCGGUUAUACAUAAAAUAUGAAGAAAUCAUAUUAGUAAUAGUUAGACGUUGUUUUUAAAAAAUUAUUAAGCUUAUUAGGUGAAAUUUUAAGUUUAAUUAUUUUGAUUUAAAUUUGGUUGAGGCUAGGAAAUUUCAGGGUUUAAACUAGGAUUAGAUACCCUAUUAUUUGGAAUGUAAUUAAUUUAUUAGAGUAGUAAUAGUUAUGUUCUUGAAACUUAAAGAAUUUGGCGGUAUUUUAAUCUGUUCAGAGGAAUCUGUUCUAUAAUCGAUAAUCCACGAAAACUUUACUUGAAUUUAUUAAUUAAUUUGUAUACCGCCGUUAUAGAUUAUCUUGUAAGAGCAAUAAUUUUCUUGAGUUUGUAAAAAAGUAUAUCAGGUCAAGGUGCAGUUUAUAUUUAAGGAAGAAAUGGAUUACAAUAAAUUUAUUUAUACGGAUGAUUAAGUUGAAAUAUUUAGUUGAAGGUGGAUUUGAUAGUAAAAUUAUUAAUUAUAUUAAUUUGAUUUUAGCUCUAAAAUAUGUACACAUCGCCCGUCGCUCUUAUUUCUUUAUAAAUAAUAUAAAAUAAGAUAAGUCGUAACAUAGUAGAGUUACUGGAAAGUGAUUCUAGAAUGA